AUACACAGAUUCAGUGUUCAAACCAUUUGUCUAUUGGAUUAUGUAAGAGAUAAUGUACUGGAUUACCUACUGGAUUAUGUAAGAAAUUGCCCCAAAUGCACAGAAUGCAUGAGCAAUCAUCUAAUUAACGGAUAGAUGAAACAGAGACUACCUGAUGUAAACUUUCCUGGGUAAAGCUGGGCAUUCUUUUGCUAGCUUGACCAUUUCAGCCAAAGACCAAAGGUGGCUGAAAGUGUCAUUUUACUUAUUCUUCCUUAUUCUUUGUGUUACUCCAGUGUAUGUUGGAAAUAUUGUCAUAUGUGAGGGGGGAGGCAGUAAAUGUUGUAUCUUUAAGUGCUUGCUGGUUUAGAUGUAUCAGAGGGACUCUCUUGUAAAUUGGAAUUUAUGACUAUCCUAAAAAUGAGAAAUCGCUUGCAUAUCUGCAAGGGUUACUGUGGUGGGAAAGUGGGUAGCUUUUAAUUAAAUGCUGCUUAUGAUUGUGGUUUUGUUCUGAAUUUCAGUUUGAGUUCAACCAGUUUUACAUCAGCGUAACUUUUUUCGGUUUGGUUAAAAUUAGCCUUUCUACUGACCAAGCAAUGUGGGGUUCAUUUGAGAUGAAAGCCAUUACUUAAAAAAAGAAAGGAAGCAAGGAGGGAAGGAAGGAAGGAAGAGAAAGAGGGAAAGACUUUUCCUGCUUGCUGCUUUCCCUUCAUUUAAAACCAUCUUGUCUUCACAGGCCAAUGCAGACCUGGGCAGUGACAUGUUAGGUCCCAUAUGAAAUGACAAUGAUCUGCACAGUUUCAGUACUGCACGCACUUCGCUGGAACGCAAGGUUGUGCAGCAGUGGUGCUUACAGGGAUUUUGUUGCCUGAAGGUGAUACCUGGACUACUGUUUCCUACUCCAGAUGCUCUGAGCCAUCGCUGAUCUACCUUUUGGCCUGUGAUGUAAAACCACCCAGGAAGACCUGCAAGUUUAAGUGAGGCAGUAAAUGCCUAGCAUAUGAAUAUUGCUUACUAGCUGUUCUUAUCACUACGCCUUGCACAUAUCUUAGUUGGUGGCAUGGGACAGAAAGAACAGCUGCUGAGCCAGACAGUUGGCUGAGGUCUGUCCUAGUGCCAUGGGCUACAGAUUCUUGCGUAUGCAUUAUGAAAAGAGGCCAUUUGGUUGUGAAUCAUUUAGACAAAGGUAAUAAGACAACAUUUAAUUUCAGAAGUCAACUUUCUGAUAUAAUGUACAUACAAGAAGCAAGAAAAAUAAUGGAAUCAUAGAAUCUUUUGAACUGGAAGGGACCCUUAAAGGUCAUCCAGUCUAACUCCCCUGCAACGAACAGGGGUAGCUACAGCUCCAUCACAUGCUCAUAGCCCUGAUUUGAGCCUCUCCAGGGAUGAGGCAUCCACUGCCUCUCUGGGCAACCUGUUCCAGUGCCUCACUAACCUUAUCAUAACAAACUUUUUUCCUUAUAUCCAACCUAAAUUCUCUCCUCUUUUAGUUUCAAAUAAUUUCCCCUUGAUUGAGAUAAAUAGAUCUAAUAUGUACAGUAUGUGUUUUGACAACCAAGUUUUCAUUAUAAAGCAAAUGGGCAUGUUUGGAAAAAAUGCUGUUCUCUAUUUUUUUUUUGUUGUAAAAUCAGCAGGACUUGUUGUAACUACUAUCUUAAUUGCACUGAUACAGCGUUUUCAGAAGUGUGAACACAGGACAGGUCAUUGCUGGCAGUGAGUUGGCAUACAGAGAUGGUGAACUCCGUACAAACUCACCCCGCAUAGACUGUGAAAUAACACAUCUCAAUUUUGGAAUAAUUGGUAGUUCAGGCCAACAUUAUACAUCACCUCCAGCACAGCUAAUUCCCUUAGGCACUGGAUACCUCUUUCCAUGGUGGUCCACUUGCCUGGUUGACAUGUAAAGAAUGUACUUGUUACAUUUCCACAAUAAGGUUCCUAAAGUGCGAGGAUGAUGGCACUGCUGAGUACUACUACCAAAAUAAAUCCACAACCGGAUUGUAUUAUAACAAGAGCAUAUGCUAUAUACAAGCUGGAAAAAUCAUAAAUAAGCCUAGACCAGCUUUCAGAGUGAUGAAUAACAUGGCCAGAGUUAAGAAAAACAACAAAAACAACUGCUCCCCUCAGUUAUAUAGUUUUCACAUGAUGCCAUAUGCAUGGAGUGCCCCUUUGGGCAGUUUAGGUCAGCUGUCCUGGUUCUGUCCCCCCUCCACUCCUUGUGCCCUCCCAGAUCCCUCGCUGCCAGGACAGUAGAAGAAGGGGAGAAACUAAAAUGUGCUUGGCUCUGUACGGCACUAUGCAGUAACAACCAAAACAUCGGUGUGUUGUCAACAUAGUUUUUCUCUUAAUGCCAAAACAUAGUGUUAUACCAGCCACUGUGAAGAAAAUCAACUCUGGGACAUACCACAGAGCUGAAACGUACUACAGAGAACUCAUUCAUUUUCUCUACAGCACAUCUACGCUUUCUUUGAAGAAAGUGAUAGUAGUAAGCACGGAUUCACAAAGUGACAGCAGUGCUUAACCAACAUGGCAGCUUUCUGCAGUGGGAUGAAUGGCUUGGGGGAUUUGGGGAGAGCUCUGUUACUUAUCUCAACUUUUAAUAGGUUUUCUGUAUUGUCUCCCAUGCCUUCCUCAUGUAUAAACCCAUGAAGUGUAAGUGGAGUGAACUCUCUGAUGUGGACUGAACACUGACUGAACUGCUGGGCUCAGGGAUUUUGUGACUAGUGGUACAAAAUCCAGUGGCUAACCAGUUCUUGGUAGUAUAUCCAGAUAUUGAUAUUGACCCUAUAACUGCUUAACUUCACUACUGACACAGACACUGGACAGAGUAUCUAUCACCAGCAAACUUGCAGAGAAAGCACAGUACUGGGAGGAGUGGCUGCCACACGAGGAGAAGGACUUUGGCAGGCUGGAGAAAGUUUCAGAAAGCUUCAUGAAGUUUAACAAAUGGAAUUGUGGAACCUGGGAAGGAAUAGCCUCACAUGCCAGUAUACACAGGGGACUGAGCGACUGGAAGAAAUUUUGCUGAGAAGAACCUUGCUGUCCUGGUGGACACCAAGUUUAAUGUGAGCUACCAACAGGUUCUUGUCACAUUGAAGGUCAACAAUAUCCUGGGCUGCAUUGGGAAGAGUGUUGUCAGCAGGUUGAGGGAGAUGAUUUUUUCCACUCAAGUGAGAGCCCAUCUGGAGCACUGUGUCCAGUUCCUAGAACAAGAAAAAGACAAGUUAAUGGAACACGUACCUACAUGGUACCUCCAGAGCAUUAGGGGGGGAGUGUUAUGUGAUAAUUAAUUGGGUGUGAUGUUGGCAGAAGUUUUUGAUGCAAAGAGCAAACACAGGCACACUUUGUUAAUGUUACUGACAGAGGACAGAAGCAGUUCCGGUUGGAAUUAGCAUACAGCCUAUGUGAUCUUGUUUGGACAGUGCUCACUCUAGCUUUUAUAUUGUAUGAUUAAAAUUAAUGGAGAAGCAAACUAUGCUUUCUGUGUUCUCUUAAGGACAGCUACAGUCAAUCUUUCUCAAGUACAUUACAGCCUUUUCAAAAUGGUUUGCUGUUCCUUGUGCAAGAGGAAGUAAAACCAUAACUGUCAAGCCCUACUAAGUAUGUAAAUGGAGGGAAAACCUUGCAAAGAGAAAUAUUUUGAAUCUGUGACAAUGCAUGCAAAUAUCAUCUUAUUCAGUGACUGCAUGACCAUUUUAAACAGUAACCUGGAGGCAUGUGUUUAAAGCAUUCCAAAGAAAACAGAAAGAUAACAGUCCUCUAGAACAUAUGAAAGCUCUCCCUCUUCUUAGUUUGUAUAUUGCAUGUAUAUUGCAUGUAUAUUGCCCACUUC